rnacentral:rRNA from 1 species
UACAGAGGUCCCGAGCGUUGCUCGGAAUGACUGGGCGUAAAGGGCGCGUAGGCGGUUUGUCUAGACAGGCGUGAAAUUCCUGGGCUUAACCUGGGGGCUGCGCUUGAUACAGGCAGGCUUGAGUGUGGAAGAGGGUCGUGGAAUUCCCAGUGUAGAGGUGAAAUUCGUAGAUAUUGGGAAGAACACCGGUGGCGAAGGCGGCGACCUGGUCCAUUACUGACGCUGAGGCGCGAAGGCUAGGGUAGCAAACAGG